CUGCAGCAGAGAAACCCCUUCCCAGCCAAGCAAAACUACAAACAAAGGGAGUUCAGUGAGCAGGAGUCAGAAUUCAUCAUGAGAUGAGAACACACAAAAGUAAAUUCCAUCCAAAUAUCAGAUAAUUUAGAGGCCCGGGGAUGCUUGCCUUUACCCGGGCAGCCUGCAGUCAGGGACAAAGAGACUGCAUCGCUCCAAGGACAACACAUAGAAUAUCCUAUCUUCAUUUAUUUUCAAUUCACUGCUCUGCCCACAAAAGCGUCUAAGAGCAGGUAGGUGGUGGAAAGUGGGAAACGACCUGCGGCUGUGACAAAAUGCAGAUCAUGGCGCCGAGAGGCUGUCUCAUUGCUCGGGAAUGUGAACCGGUUUUUAAAACCUUCCUGAGACCUGGGGGUCUGCAGCUCAGAAGUGGCCGCGAGGGUGUGAGGGAACUAACGCGGGGAGUGGAGGUGCACGAGGGUCCUGCUCGGCUCAGACCUCGGGGCGUCUCCUGGGUCUACAAAGCCCAACUCUGGGCAGGUGCUCGGGCUGCAGCUUCAGGGUGUGCGCAGAAGUCCUGCACAGCCCUCCCAUGCACCGAAAAUACUAAGUCCCUGGCCCCCUGUCCUUGUUAAACUCCCUUCAUCUCCGAAAAAAAAGAAAAUCAAUAGCGAGUAACUCGCCUCUCAUCACCUCCCUGCUCUCCUCCCUCGGCAACCUCCCCCGACUCAGUCAAACUUACUGGGCUGCACUUGGGGGGAGGGCAACUCUAUUUGUUGUGAGCAACAAUGCGAGAGCUAAUGAGAUGAGUGUUCGAAGACAGUCUCCUAAGAAACGUAUACAGAACUCAUGUAGCUCACUUCUGUCAACACCUAAUCGAUGAGGAAGCUAGUAUCAUUAUUCCCAUUGCCAUGCAUGGCUGUGUUGGAGCUCGAGUCCAAACCAGUAUAAAAACCUGUAGGAAAUACAUACAAGAUCAGCAUUUAUCUUACGAUCGCCUGGCUCUACGUCACGAGACAAAAGGAAAAAGUCAAGGUUCCGAAUGAGAAGGCAUUAUUCUGGGUUUGCAUAACUGACAUCCUUAUCUGUUAGUGGCUUGAAUAAGCCCAGCAGCCGUUAUAAGAUCAUUAGAAAAGGGUAGCACAGGUCCAGAAGGCCAGUCGGUUGCACUCUAAUCACAGGAGAAGCAGCAACCCUGACAGGGGCCCCAGGGAAAAUGUAUUGAAGCAGCUAGAAGAGUUUAAUGAGUGAAUCAAGGUAGGAGAAUCUCUACCUGCGCACUAGUGGACACGGUCUAUCCCUGGGGACGCAGAUGAGCUGAGGGACAGCUCGUCCCCCUCUUCCUCUUCUUGGUCCCAUGGCAGCAGCAGAUGUCUGAGAGAACUCAGAGAUGUGAGCAAGGAUAGAGGCAGAGGAGGGGAAAGCAUCCUUGAAUCAAAUACGUCGGCUUGGCUCAGCAGACCUCAGCCUAGCCCCGAGUCCCCUCCCACCACUGACAUGGGGGUUUAGGGUAAGUCUUUGGGCAUUCAUUUCCAGAACCCAGACGGGAGUGGGACUUGAGGAAGAGGAUGAGAAUACAGCCUCCUAAUUGCAGUAGAAUCUAACUUUCAAACCUCCUUUUCAGCGGGCAUCUGGAUGAUCUGUUUAAUGCGACCAAUUGCCCGGGUCUCUUUCCUGCCCAGCAGCCUGUGGAGAGAAGCACCGGGGAGAAAACGAUGUAACGAGGACCAGGCUCAGGACAAGCUGAAGUGCCUGGCACAGAAGCAUCCUGGUCUGCAGCAGGGGCCCCCUGAUUACCGCAGAUCUCAGGAAACCUUGGCACUGCCCUGAUCCAAAUGAGAUGCCAGCAUCAGGGAACGUUCCUUCUCCAUGCAUGUCUUUUUUUUCCUUUCCUCUUCAGGGUGAUGAGAUGUUGGAUGAUAAAAGUAAAAUAUUUUAGCCAUGUUACAAUUUGUAAAGCGCACCCUGCAACUACCUUGGCUGGAUAAGCCUGGUUCACCCCUGCUCUGAUGUUCCCCAAACCAGCUUUCACCAAAAUAGUGAACACCCUGCAGUUCCUGAUCUGUCUGACGGAUCGUUACAACAGUGUUUUGCAGUAUUAUCACACUCAGUUCACUAAAGCAUGCCAAGGCACAGCGAGGUUAGGAAAUUCACCGAAAAAGAGACAAUUUGCCGUCAAAGUUUAUAUUUAUUAAGCUGCAGCAGGCGUGGUGAUAAUCACUCUGUGGAGACAAUGGCAGUAACCAACCCCCACCCUGCAACCUCUUGAAGUGGGUAUUAUUUAUCAUCAUUUUCAUUUUAUACAUAAGGAAUCAUAGACUGGCACUGAUUAAAUAACUUACCUAAACACAUACACCUAGAAAGAUUCAGAGCUGGAAUGCAGGCAGUGCAACUGCAGGCCCUCUUCUAAAAUUCCUUGUUGAAUUGCUAGUUCACAAAGACCUUGGCUUUGAGCAAAGGUCUUCUAGGUGAGGACACAGCACACGGAAUACGUAAUACAUCUAGAUAAAAAUAAAAUCCUGUUUAAUAUAUAAUUAUAAAUUAUAUAUUGAAAUACAUAAAGGUUGUAAGUAUGAAGUUAUUUAUCGCGUGAAUCUCAGUAACCUGAAGAUUUUCGGUUGCUUUGGUUUGGUUUGGUUUUAGUUGGCAGGUGUGCAAGUUUGCAGCUGCUGAGAUGAAACUCAUUGGUGGUUUAGAUUCCUGGUUCUCAGAGGAUAGGCAACAGAUCUAGACAGGAAUGGAUAAAAAGAGAAUCGGUCAUUCUGUUGUUGGCAACACUAAGAGGGAUUUUAGGGAGACCAUCGGUAUCUAAUGGGAAUUAGUGAAUCUGCUUGCUGUGAGGUGUGCCAUGGGCACUUGCUCCCAUGGAAAUGUCAGCAAAAUUCAGAGUGAUUAUUAUAUUUGAUACUUUUUUUUUUCUGGAAAAUACAGACAUUAUAAGCCCUCUGUCAAAACUGUUGGGAGCAUAUGGGGACAGCCAAUUUUUCCUUUUAUAUCAAGAGUGUAACUGACUCCCAGCCCAAAAGGAAGUUGAAAAAAAGAGCUGACCAUACAUGCAUACUAUGCAGAAUAGGUAUUCUUGUCACUUAUACAGUAGCUUCAUCAUUAUUUCUUCCUGCUUCCAAUUUUUUAGUAAUAAAAAUACAGGCCAUAUGAUUCUCUUUGCAUUACAGAACAAAAGCAAAAACAAACAUGCCUGCUCUACAGAACUUCCAAGUUUAUGACGGAGCUCUGUGCAGCCCAGGGCCUGGGAGCUGACGUGUGAACUCAAGUCCUCUGUUCCCUGGCGUAGGUUCAUUCCUCCUUCCUAAAAUAUGAAAUCAGUCAGUAUAUCAUCCAGUCAUUCACUAAGUCAUUCGCUCAUUAAUUUGAUUAGCAAACGUUUAUUAUGACCGUAUACUAAAUGCUUUCCGUGUGAUAUACCAAUAGAGUUCCCCUGCCAAUCUUUACUAUUUCACUCCUGUUUCAUAGGGCAGUGAAGAUGCAGAGAAUUCGGCAACUUGUCUGUAAAUACACAGCUGAUCGGUGACUGAGGUGUGAUUUGGAGCCAGGCAUUUGGCGGCAAGGCCCUAAGUGGGCCGCUUCUCUGUCGGAAGGUCUGUGUGUAGCACAGGACACAGACCACACCGUCACCAGAAGUGGCCAAGACAGUGUCUGUGUCCCUGCCAUGGUCUGUGUCAUGUUUUCCAUUCUUUUCCCUUCCCCUCAUCAUCUAAUUCUUCAUCCAGUCUGUGUGACCCAAAGCCCGAGGUAGGUUUCACACAGGACCCUCGGUCCCUGUCACACAUGGCUUAGAGUGCAGCCCUGAGAAUCCUGAGGCUGCGCUUCACUCAACACAAAAACAAAAGCAAACAAAAAUGAGUUUAGCAGAUGCAUUGUAAACCCUGUGCCUCAUCUUUCUUCCUUCAGGAUUCAUGCCCAACUGGAAAAAUCCAAGCAAUGCAUAAGAGUGGGAGGUACCAGGGAACAUUCUUCUCUCGAGAUGACACCGGGCUGCUCUCAUGACAUGUGGGAAGCCCACUAUUCUUGCACAGACAUCUAGUCCUCUGUAGUUGCCUCUGCUCUCCUUGUACUAUUCACUGACUCGGCACGUGGUGAUUUGGCUUAUAGGACAUAACAUAUCAUCUGUGUCAGGGGUUGGUCAACUGUACCCCGUGGGUCCACCUUCUUCUGUGAUAAAGUCUUACUGAAAGGCAGUCAUGCUCACUUAUUUACAUUUUGUCUCUAACUGCUUUUGUGCUAUGAUAACAAAGUUGAGUAGGUGUGGCAGAGACCACGUGGCUUGCAAAAGGGAAAGAAUUCACUAGAUAGCACUUUACAGAAAAUGUCUGCCAACCCUGCUGUUUGCCAUAGAGAUAAUACUGUGUGUGAACAUUUUACUCGAAUAAAUGCAGAGGUGUAAGGAGUUCAAGCAGAAGGUGGGAACUGCCUGUAAGGAGUCCCACCCCUACCUGGGGAUCGUACAUGUCUUGAACGAUGCAUCUACAUGGCUUUGCCUCUGAUGUACUGAUGUUACGUAAGCCGAAGUGACAGGCCCUCAGCAGUUUCUAUUAUUAUCCAUAGCAAACGCUGAAUAUCUUUGCUGCAUAAAGUGAAAAUACUACAAUUGAAGAAAAAGAACUGCUCUUAUUGAAUGGCAGCUGUGUUCCAGGCCCUUUAUGUAUAUCCGUCCUUUUAUUCGACCAUUACCUCAACCAGGUGAAGUGGAUAUUCUCAUCUCAGUUUUACAGCUGAUGACUCUGAGACUGCCCACACAGUGAGAAGUGGAGAAACAAGAGUUGUACACCCAGGCUCUGAAGAUAUUAUUUUUGCUCCGCAAGAUUUUCCAGUGAUAAUGUCUUUCUUUUGAAGUUUACACGUCGCCGUCAUAUGCCAUCAUUUCUUUAAAUCUGUGAUCCACACUGCAAUUUCAACAGAGCUGGCACCACUGUCUUUAUUUUACCGCAAAGAAUUUGAGAUGAAGAAUCAUUGAGUUGUUAAUUACAAGGUCAUAUUUAUGUAACACGAGAGUCUCCAAUGUUUGAUUCUCUAAAGAGCCCUGAGAAGCAGGAGGUUCAUUAUUAUCCCAACUUCACAGAUGUGGAAACAGGACUCAGAGAGGCCAAGUAAAAUGCCAAGGUUCAGAUGCCAAGAAGUGGGUCUGCCAGGACUCAAAUCCUUAUCUCCUGACUCCACACUCCUCAUUCACUCUCCUCUCUCAGAGCAUCCACUCGGAGUGUAUUAGAUGUUCAAUGAGUGCAGAAUAAAUGAGUAACAGAAUAACUUUUUUAUUCUGCACUCAUUAUAAUAUUUAGAAUAGGGCAAGGACAUUUGGCUUGAUGUUUUUAAAAACAUACUUAUUACGAUCUUGGAAGCAUACAUUUUCUUCUCAAUCUAUCAGCACACAUUUUGGGAGUUCCUGUCAUGGCUCAAUGAUAACAAACCCAACUAGGAUCCAUGAGGAUGCAGGUUCAAUCCCUGGCCUUGCUCAGUGGGUUAAGGAUCUGGCACUGCCAUGAGCUGUGAUGUAGGUCGCAGACACGGCUCAGAUCCCAUGUUGCUGUGGCUGUGGCUGUGGCUGGCAGCUGCAGCUCCAGUUUGACCCCUAGCCUGGAAACCUCCAUAUGCUGCGGGUGUGGCCCUAAAAAGCAAAAAAAAAAAAAAAAAAAA
rnacentral:lncRNA from 9 species